rnacentral:rRNA from 1 species
UCCGGUGGCUAUAGCGAAGGGGAAACACCUGGUCCCAUUCCGAACCCAGAAGUUAAGCCCUUCAGCGCCGAUGGUACUGCUCUGGAGACGGAGCGGGAGAGUAGGUCGCCGCCGGGA